ACACCGGCAGCUCUAGUGGUAGCUGUUUUUAUUGGGCCUAAAGCGUUCGUAGCCGGUUUGGUAAGUCACUGGUGAAAUCCUGUAGCUUAACUAUGGGCAUUGCUGGUGAUACUGUUGAACUUGAGGUCGGGAGAGGUUAGCGGUACUCCCAGGGUAGAGGUGAAAUUCUGUAAUCCUGGGAGGACCAACUGUGGCGAAGGCGGCUAACUGGAACGAACCUGACGGUGAGGGACGAAAGCUAGGGGCGCGAACCGGAUUAGAUACCCGGGUAGUCCUAGCCGUAAACGAUGCGGACUUGGUGUUGGGAUGGCUUUGAGCCGCUCCGGUGCCGAAGGGAAGCUGUUAAGUCCGCCGCCUGGGAAGUACGGUCGCAAGACUGAAACUUAAAGGAAUUGACGGGG
rnacentral:rRNA from 1 species